GCGUAUCCAACCUUCCGUACACUCAGGGAUAGCCUUUCGAAAGAAAGAUUAAUACCUGAUGGUAUGAUGAGAUUGCAUGAUAGCAUCAUUAAAGAUUUAUCGGUGUACGAUGGGGAUGCGUUCCAUUAGGUAGUAGGCGGGGUAACGGCCCACCUAGCCAACGAUGGAUAGGGGUUCUGAGAGGAAGGUCCCCCACAUUGGAACUGAGACACGGUCCAAACUCCUACGGGAGGCAGCAGUGAGGAAUAUUGGUCAAUGGACGAGAGUCUGAACCAGCCAAGUAGCGUGAAGGAUGAAGGUCUUACGGAUUGCAAACUUCUUUUAUAAGGGAAUAAAACCUCCCACGUGUGGGAGCUUGUAUGUACCUUAUGAAUAAGCAUCGGCUAACUCCGUGCCAGCAGCCGCGGUAAUACGGAGGAUGCGAGCGUUAUCCGGAUUUAUUGGGUUUAAAGGGAGCGCAGACGGGUCGUUAAGUCAGCUGUGAAAGUUUGGGGCUCAACCUUAAAAUUGCAGUUGAUACUGGCGUCCUUGAGUGCGGUUGAGGUGUGCGGAAUUCGUGGUGUAGCGGUGAAAUGCUUAGAUAUCACGAAGAACUCCGAUUGCGAAGGCAGCACACUAAGCCGUAACUGACGUUCAUGCUCGAAAGUGUGGGUAUCAAACAGGAUUAGAUACCCUGG
rnacentral:rRNA from 1 species